AGAGUUUGAUCAUGGCUCAGGACGAACGCUGGCGGCGUGCUUAAUACAUGCAAGUCGAACGAGGUCCAUCCGGUGGCAACACCGGUGAAGACCUAGUGGCGAACGGGUGAGUAGCACGUGAGCAACCUGCCCCGAAGACUGGGAUAACACCGGGAAACCGGUGCUAAUACCGGAUGCCCCCAUCGGACCGCAUGGUCCGGUGAGGAAAGGGUUUCUGCUUCGGGAGGGGCUCGCGGCCUAUCAGCUUGAUGGUGAGGUAACGGCUCACCAUGGCGACGACGGGUAGCUGGUCUGAGAGGACGAUCAGCCACACUGGGACUGAGACACGGCCCAGACUCCUACGGGAGGCAGCAGUAGGGAAUCUUGCGCAAUGGGCGAAAGCCUGACGCAGCAACGCCGCGUGAGGGACGAAGGCUUUCUGAGUUGUAAACCUCUUUCAGCAGGGACGAUUGUGACGGUACCUGCAGAAGAAGCACCGGCCAACUACGUGCCAGCAGCCGCGGUGAUACGUAGGGUGCAAGCGUUGUCCGGAUUUAUUGGGCGUAAAGAGCUCGUAGGCGGUUCGAUAAGUCGGGUGUGAAAUCUCCAGGCUCAACCUGGAGUCGCCACUCGAUACUGUCGUGACUCGAGUCCGGUAGGGGACCAUGGAAUUCUUGGUGUAGCGGUGAAAUGCGCAGAUAUCAGGAGGAACACCAGUAGCGAAGGCGGUGGUCUGGGCCGGUACUGACGCUGAGGAGCGAAAGCGUGGGGAGCGAACAGGAUUAGAUACCCUGGUAGUCCACGCCGUAAACGUUGGGCACUAGGUGUGGGGCCUAUUCAACGGGUUCCGUGCCGUAGCUAACGCAUUAAGUGCCCCGCCUG
rnacentral:rRNA from 1 species